rnacentral:rRNA from 1 species
CAGCCGCCGCGGUAAUACAGAGGGUGCAAGCGUUAAUCGGAAUUACUGGGCGUAAAGCGCGCGUAGGUGGUUUGUUAAGCUGGAUGUGAAAUCCCCGGGCUCAACCUGGGAACUGCAUCCAAAACUGGCAAGCUAGAGUAUGGUAGAGGGUGGUGGAAUUUCCUGUGUAGCGGUGAAAUGCGUAGAUAUAGGAAGGAACACCAGUGGCGAAGGCGACCACCUGGACUGAUACUGACACUGAGGUGCGAAAGCGUGGGGAGCAAACAGGAUUAGAUACCCCUGUAGUCCCUGUCUCUUAUAC